GUGGGAUACUACCCUAGCUGUGUUGGCUUUCUAACCCGCACCACUUAUCGUGGUGGGAGACAGUGUCAGGCGGGCAGUUUGACUGGGGCGGUCGCCUCCUAAAAGGUAACGGAGGCGCUCAAAGGUUCCCUCAGAAUGGUUGGAAAUCAUUCAUAGAGUGUAAAGGCAUAAGGGAGCUUGACUGCGAGACCUACAAGUCGAG
rnacentral:rRNA from 1 species